GACGAACGCUGGCGGCGCGCCUAACACAUGCAAGUCGAGCGAGAACCAUUCCUUCGGGAAUGGGGACAGCGGCGAACGGGUGAGUAACACGUGGGUAAUCUACCCUCGGUUCUGGGAUAGCCCGGGGAAACCCGGAUUAAUACCGGAUAGCCUCUUGAGCCUUCGGGUUCUUGAGAAAAGGUAGCUUCGGCCUCCGACCGAGGAUGAGCCCGCGGCGGAUUAGCUUGUUGGCGGGGUAACGGCCCACCAAGGCACGAUCCGUAGCUGGUCUGAGAGGACGAUCAGCCACACUGGGACUGAGACACGGCCCAGACUCCUACGGGAGGCAGCAGUGGGGAAUCUUGCACAAUGCGCGAAAGCGUGAUGCAGCAACGCCGCGUGGGGAAGACGGCCUGGU
rnacentral:rRNA from 1 species